UUUUUUUUUUUUUUAUUAAAGUAACAGGUAUUUCAAGUCUACCUAAUUACUUUGGUGGGAGAUGGAAUAUAUAUCAGUUUUUAGGGAAAGAUGGAAGCCUUAACCAUUUUGGUUUUUGCCACUUUCCUUAGAGUGCAGACAUUUUCUUAUUAGUUGGAUUUUCAUGCCACAUACAACCAAGCGGCAAGGUGUUAAACCAUUCUGCUGCUCUGCCUUAUUUAUAGCCAUGACCCAUUCUUUCCCCCCUCUUACAGUUAAUAGAAAGAUUCAUGAUUCUUCAUGGUUGUCUAUCUAGUGUCUGACAGUCCCGACUGCCUGCUAAAGCAAGUCACUAUCUAUAAUUGAUAUCCUGCCGUGGAAUAGGGUGCUGGCUGCAAUUGAAGGGCUUUGCUGAAAGCCCUUAAAUCCUGACAAGUUCUCCCCUUGUUCUGCUUCAGUCGCUGAGCUGCAAGGUUGGAAUUCCAGAGCUAUUUGAAGUUGGUGCAAAAGAGAGACAUGUGUUUCACAUUAGCAAAUCGCAAAGUUGAAGAAGGGAAUUAGGAACUGGCUGACUUUCCCUGCCAGUAGUCUCCCUUCUAGUGCAGUGCAUGCCGUGUUCUAGGGGGAAGAUUACCUCCUCUAUUACAGUCUGAGCAGAUACGCAGAACAUGGCCUUUCCUCCUCUUCCCUUUUAUUUAAAGCCCCUUUCCUUUCCCAAAUGGAUGUUAUUCUAGAUGGGCUGCAGCCAGGAUCUGUUAUCACAGUGGUUCAUAAUUAACUUUAUUUCACAGCAAGGUAAUUAUAGCUGGGCCGAGUCGCUCUUAAGUUAGUAUUAAAUUUUCAACAAAUUUACUUUUUUUACCAGAAACUAGGAAAAUGUACAUGUAUUUCACCAGGAUUUUGUUAUAUUUUGACUCUUUCUUGGUACUGGUUAAAAUAGAAAGCAACAAAAGCACAAGAAGAAUAUGUAGUAAAAAGUUAAUUACAAGUACUUUUGAUUGAUUGAUUGAUUGAUUGAUUGAAUUUCUGAUAAAUUUGUCAAGAUCCAAACCUGAUUUCUGAAAGACACAUAUUGUGAUGUUUCAGGGUAAGCUGCAAUCCCACAUUUCUGGUCAGCUUUGAAGUUGCCAGAUUCUGCUGUUGUGCGUUACGUUACAGAGGGCCUGUGUGUAAAUGUGCUUCCGAAGUUGGGCUGUGUCCGUUCCCAGAGUAUUCGCCCCAACCUUUACUGUUUCUUACUUAACUCAGCCUGUGUCAUGGAAAGAGGCGCCACCCACCUUCUAGACCUUGCUCAGCUCAGCUUCUUUCUUCGAAUUUUGUCCUAAAAGUGACUCUACCCUUGACUUUUGGUAGUGGAGACAAUUGAAAUCCUCAUAGCGUGAAGCUCAAGGUUGUCUUGUAUUCUCUGAAGCCUGAAGGAUUCGGGGGUCAGUGACACUGGGUUUAUGUCACAGUGUACAUUUUAGAGUGGCACUGCUCCCCUGGCUCCCUGAGCUUGUAAGCAUCAUUGUUGAAAUCUGAAAGAAGAAAAUCAGAGCAGUCAAUGUUCACCUUGUCCAGCUUCAAGUAUGACACUGUCACUCUUCAACAGAUCCACAAACUCUUAAAACACUGCCUUUAAACAAAUCUCCCGUAGUCUUGUUUAGUGAUUAAUACAUACAAGAUCUUUCCCAACAGUCUACAGAAAGUAGAAAUAGUUCUUAGCAGUUUUGUUCUCCAACGUAAUUUCUAGGAACACGCCCCAGGAUGGUGGUGCCUUGGCAACGACAGACGGUCACGGUAUCUUAAAACUGAACUUCAGGCAGGAAAUGGGUUUAUAAUAACAUCUGACUUCAGCUGGGUGGCAUUUCAGUAAAUGUAAUCCUCGGUCUGCAUCUUUAAAGCAUGGUGUCACUUUUUUUUUUCUUUUUGAAGAAUGAUUAGCCACCUACCUGGAUUACAAAUGCUUUUAUAUGCUGCAAAUUUUGAUCUUCAAAAGCAUGCUAAAGUUCUCUCCUAAUCACUUUUGCUGCUGAUUAGAAACAAAUUCUGUACAUUUGCAGCAUAAAAAUCAAGAGCUUUCAUUUUAAUAUCAGAGGUUCAGGUGUAUAAUUGUAUCUAUAAACACACAGGAGCGUUUGAUGUGAAUAUAUUGUUUUCAUAGUAAAUCCCUAAUCCUAAACUUGCAUGUCAUGUCCCUUGUCUAACUUUUACCACUGUACUAAGUUGCAUUGAACAUCUUUACCUAAUAGAAAAUUGGGUUUAAGAUGUGAGAAUGGUCUCAGACGUGAGGCAGGGAUGGAUUGGUUUCAUAUCUAAAAUCUAAAAUGAGCAAGUCGAGAUUUUGAUCUUAUUUCCUUCUACCUGUAGUUGCUAAUUCAUUUUCCUAUUCUAAUAUUUGGAAAUGAGGCAUGUAAAAUAUAGAAUAAAAACGACAAACUUCAAAGUCACUCUACAAUGAUUUUUGCCCUAAGGGUCGUGUCUUUUUGUGAAGUUCUUAUCUAAAUUUCACCUGCAGAAAGCAUUUACAUCGAAAUGUAUCUAAGAGAUUGUGCUGACGGGGCAAGGAAUGAGGGUUGUGUGUGUUAAAGCAACCCAGAGCCUCAACUAGAUUCUGAGUAGCAGCCUCACCCCAGCCCUGAUUCAGAAUGCUGUCCCAGACACCACUUGACCCUUUCAGACAUUAUUUUCUCACUUAUCAGAGUGUGAAAGAGUCGUGAAAAUAAAUACUGUCCCAGAUGUCCAAGGCCAAGCAGAGAUCACAUUCAGUGGACCCUGUGGGAAACAGACAUCGAGUCUAAAUGAGGCAAUUCCACCUCUUGUGUGUUUUUUUGAAGGCUGAGUUGGGGAGGACGGAGCGACGAAUCUGUUGGUCUUGGGGUUCCUGUGUCCAUUCUAAGGCUCUUCUUAUAUUAGUUGUUGCUAGACUUGGACUAUAUGAGCUAGGGAGUGCCACACCCUGCUCAGUCCCAGCACCGGCAUGGGCUCAUUAAACAGGCCACUUGGACUCUUAAAAACUGAUCCACCCUGUUGGGAGAUAUAGCUACAACAACAUGAAACUGUUAGCUUCACGUAUCGUAAAAAUUGCCUUCAAUAUAAUGUUAGUGAUUCUUCUUAUAAAAGAGAAAAAUAUAGUGCUAUUUCAAGGUUGUUAUAGCAGUGAAGCCUGCUUUAGAUUGCUCUUAGGUGGUCUCCAAGUAGGGAUACCAGCAUGAAAUUAGGAUCUAAAAGUUGUGGAACCAACCCCCAGUUCCCAAAGCCGCCUCUGAGAAGCUGAAUGGGCUUAGGCCCUACUUCUUAGUACCUUGUACUGCUAACCUUUAGAGGCUCUCUGUGGGUUCCAGGGGUCUGGAAUGCUCUCAAAGACUCUCCUUAAGGUACAGCAAUCAGUGUCUGCCGCAGACACUGUCCUACAUGCUGUAAGAUGUUGAAAAGCAUUCUUCCCACUGAAUGCCUGUAACACCUCAUCCCCCAACUAGGAUAACCAGAAUUUUCUAUAUAUAUUAUCAGCUGUACCCUGAAACACAAAGUGGCCGCUAUUUGUACCCUUCCCCUUACAGUGUUGAUAAAAGUUAUUCCUACUUUGGAAUGUUCGGAUUAAACAGGAAGGAUGGCUGACUUGUUGUUUGUUUUUGUUUUUUAAUCUCUG
rnacentral:lncRNA from 1 species